rnacentral:rRNA from 1 species
CAGCCGCCGCGGGAAUACGGAGGGUGCAAGCGUUAAUCGGAAUUACUGGGCGUAAAGCGCACGCAGGCGGUCUGACAAGUCAGAUGUGAAAUCCCCGGGCUUAACCUGGGAACUGCAUUUGAAACUGUCAGGCUGGAGUCUUGUAGAGGGGGGUGGAAUUCCAGGUGUAGCGGUGAAAUGCGUAGAGAUCUGGAGGAAUACCGGUGGCGAAGGCGGCCCCCUGGACAAAGACUGACGCUCAGGUGCGAAAGCGUGGGGAGCAAACAGGAUUAGAUACCCCUGUAGUCCAUGUCUCUUAUAC